rnacentral:tRNA from 1 species
ACCUGGCUGGCUCAGUUGGAAGAGCAUGUGACUCUUGAUCUUGGGGUCAUGAGUUUGAGCCCCAUGUUGGGUA